GCUGGGUGUAGUGGUGCACGCCUGUAAUCCCAGUGACUUGGGAGGCUGAGACAAGAGGAUUGCAAAGUUCAAGGCCUUGAACCUAGCGAGACCCUGUCUCAA
rnacentral:sRNA from 1 species